rnacentral:rRNA from 1 species
CACCGCCCGUCGCUACUACCGAUUGAAUGGUUAUAGUGAGCAUAUGGGAUCAGCAGGAUUCGAUGGGCAACCAUCAUUUCUUGUUAGAGAACUAUGGCAAACUAAGCUAUUUAGAGGAAGUAAAAGUCGUAACAAGGUUUCCGUAGGUGAACCUGCGGAAGGAUCAUUA